AACCAGUCAAGUGGCCCAUUGCACCACCAAAUCAGUUCACCAUUCAUGCCCACCUUUUCCUGGUUUUAUAACGGAUAUUGAUGUUACGCCAAUCAGUAGCUCUUUGCCAUACCCGCUCCUUCACGGCUCUGACUUUCAAUGUUGUCAGAGCGCAGGCUGAGAAUCUCUGAGCCUGUGCUCUGACUCACUAACUGAGCGCCGGAACCACGAGGGAGAGGCUAUAAUCUGAC